UGACAGAGGCUGGCUGUGCACGUGU
rnacentral:piRNA from 1 species